UGCUGUGCAAAAUCAGAAAGUCAAAAGACCGCCCAUGGAUUCAUAAUUUACUCCAAUGAAUGGCGUAAGAGACUGGCACUUCAGUACCCUCAUGAAAACAACAAUAACAUCAGUGUGAGACUUGGCGGAAUGUGGAAGGCAAUGAAGAAAGA